UACGGGGGGAGCAAGCGUUGUUCGGAUUUACUGGGCGUAAAGGGCGCGUAGGCGGUCAGCACAAGUCAGUUGUGAAAUCUCCGGGCUUAACUCGGAAAGGUCAACUGAUACUGUGCGACUAGAGUGCAGAAGGGGCAACUGGAAUUCUCGGUGUAGCGGUGAAAUGCGUAGAUAUCAGGAGGAACACCAGUGGCGAAGGCGGCUUUCUGGACGGUAACUGACGCUGAGACGCGAAAGCGUGGGGAGCAAACAGG
rnacentral:rRNA from 1 species